UAAUCAUAAAAAAGGAUCAUUUACUAGUCUUUGGUCUAUCUUGCAGAAAUGUGCGCAAAGGCACUAAUAAUCGUCAAGAUUUCGUCUAUGAGGCUAUCGAGAAGAGUGAAGAAGAGAAGAGAAGGAAGAAGAGACUUGUGAGAUGAAAAGAAGUAACCAGGGGGCUAGCUGAAGAAGAGAAGGGAUCAUCUUGUGCUAAAAGUAUAGAAGGAGAAGGGCCAAAUCAGAAAAGUGGCAGAUCAGAGAGGGGAACAAAAUCCCUAGCCGCAUCAUUCGAUCCCUUCGGGCCUGGCACAUCUCACUCUCCCUCACCCCUCCUUCUCCACCUCCGGCCGCCGCCACGGCCAGGCCGACGUGGCGGUGCGUCACCCAGCCAUCUAUCCACUCCAUCUCCACCACGCCAUCUCCACCACCCGCCGCUGCCAGCACCGCAUCACCACCACCAUCCGCUGCAUCUUCCUUUGCCGCGCCACACGACCAGCGACUCUCUCUCAACGCACCUUGCUGCCGCUCUUCUUCCCUCGCCUCAAACUGCUGCUGCUCUCUUCUCCCCGGCACCUCCACACUGCUGCUACAACUCCUUUCCUUUGCUGUUGUCCCAUCUCUCCUUGCGGUCCUGCAGCUUCUUCUUCCCAAACCUUGCUGCUGCCGCUCUCUUCUCCCCAAAACUGCUGCUUCUUCUUCUCCCCUGCGCCCCCUUGCUGAACCUAUGCUCUGAACCUCCUCCUUCUGCUGCUCCUUUUGUGUGUGUGUGUGUAAUUCAUGAAAAACAUAUUGUUGUGUUAAGUGAACAAUUAGUGUUGAGACUUGUUCAAUUGCAAACUGUUUUGUGCUAGAUUUAUAUGUGACUGUCAGUUCGUGGGUUGUAUAAAUUCAGAUUACUACCUGUGAUUUUAUUUUGUAGUGAGACCGCUCUUUGUGAAGUCAGAGGUGUGAUUGUUUUUAAUCUCAAGUUCAAUGUGCUAGCUAUGUACCAGUGACAUAUGUGACAUGUAUAUGUGAUGUGAAAUAAUUGUAUUCUGUCCCUAAUCUUGUUCCUUCCGUGUGUCUUAUACUUGCUAGUUUUAUAUACAUAUAUGUGUUCUUGUCUUGUUAGUUCCCUUUGUUGAAGUUGUCCUCCUGUAGUUUCUAUUUCUCAAGUGCUAGGAAAGCACCAAAAAGAUAUUGAGUCAAAUCUGAAUCUACCCUUGGUGUUUGCAUUUUCUUUGUCGACGAUCUUUGGGAACGACCUUGUUAGUUUAGGUUUUAUUUUUUUUGCAUUCGUCUCUUAAAAUUGUGUUACCUAGAUUUAGCUGAGCAUAGUCAUCGUCGCCUAGUCCCUGUGGGGAACACGACACUCGCAGUUCGGGCGAAAUAUCCCACUGUACCUUCAAUUGAUCAUUUUGGCACCGUUGCCGGGGACUAGCGUCGAACGAUUGUGUGAAGCUAUAGGCUAGGCUUAGUAUAGUUUUUGUUUAAAUUUCCAUUCAAAUUUAUUUCUGUGCUUCUUUUACCUUUUUACUUUUUGUUGCUUCGGCUUAUUAGGAUACUAACUUUCUGACUAGUGUUUACUAUUUAUGAGUGUUUGUAGGAAAUCUGAACUAAUUGCAGGUUGUUCUAUAGUUACACUCGGUUAAGAUGGCAUUGCUUCGUGAUCUUUGGAUGCCCAAAAGUCGGUGCUAUAUCACAGGACCGAUUUGGCCAACUAUUGAGGCAGAGAACUUCGAGUUGAAACCUAGUCUUAUUGCUUUGGUUCAACAACAACAGUUUGGAGGACUGCCUACUGAGGAUCCCUAUGAGCACUUACACCGAGUCAUGGAGUAUUCAGAUAUAGUCAAGUACCAUGGAGUUCCUCAAGAUGCAAUCAUGUGCAGGUUGUUCACAUUCUCUCUCCGUGAUGAUGCUCGUGCUUGGUAUCGAUCCUUGCCAUCAAGGUCAUACAGUUGGAAUGAGAUAUCAUGAGCUUUCUUGGAUAGAUAUUUCCCACUACACAAGCAGUCUGCGAUUCGAGAUGAGAUCUUCAAUUUUGUUCAGCGUGAAUACGAGAGCUUGUAUGAUGCUUGGGAGAGAUGCAAGGCUUUAUCAGGAGAUGUCCUAACCACGGGCUUGAGAGAUGGUUAGAGUUACAUAUAUUCUAUAGAGGAUUGACUUCGGACACUCGAUCUUACGUCGAUAUGGCAGCGGGUGGAGCUAUUACAAACAAGACACUUGAUGAUGCUUUUCUGCUGAUUGAGAGUAUAGCCUUCCACCAACUUCAGUGGUACAAUGAGAAGCCCAUCUCUGAUUCAGUUCCUUGUUUGCAACAAAUCACUUCAUCUCAGCAAGAAUCUCUUACACAAAAGUCGGAACCAGUUUCUCCAUGUAACAAGAUUGAGCUUUCAUGGAUUAUCUUUGAUGAUGAUGACACCAUCCUAGUUGACACACACACUUUAGAUCAUAUGGAUACUAGUGUUGGAGAUUUUGUUUUCAUUGUGAUGAUUCUUCCAUGGAUGAGCCAGAGCUGCAGUUAGUUGUUUUUUAUAUUGAGGAGUCACCUUUGGUUGAUAUUGAUCAUGUGCUGCUAGAGCCAGAUAUGGAGAAGUUCAAUUUCAAUGAUGUUAGACGCAUUGAUUCCUCAACACUUGAGCCUAAGAUGGAGAGCUUCAUGGUUAAUUAUGAUGAGGUGGAUUGAGAUGUCAAGGAGCCAAGCUCUACUAUUUCACUUGUUGACAUGAGUCCGGUGGAAAUUUCUACUACCACACCUCACUUGGUAUCUUCAAUUGAGGUAGUCCUGAAGUUUCUUCCCAAGUAUCUCAGGUAUGAUAUCAGCUUUCUCGACAAGAUAUAUAUGCCAUAUCAUGGAUACUGCCUAUGCACCAUGCGAUUUAUUGAUGAUAUCUAUUUAUCAUAUGUUCAAUAGAUAUGCUUAUUUGAUAGGAUACUCUAUUGAUGACUUAGAGGGCAUUGUCCCUAUCAUUUGUAUUGGCUUGGUUGUUGAGUGUUCUUUCAGGUUUACUCUUGUGCACCAUUCAUUGCGGGCUGACCAAGUUCGAGAUGACAUCCCAUGGGAUCCUGGUGGAUUCACGGCAUGGUGAUAAGGAGAAGCAAUGUGCACACAUGAGGAAGAGCGAAGAUGGAGCAUGUAUGAGGAAGCAAAAGGAGAGGAGCUGCAGUUGGUGAGGUGAUCGAGCGAGUGCUACAUCAUCAAAGCCUGAAAUGUGCGCAAAGGCACUAAUAAUCAUCAAGAUUUCGUCUAUGAGGCUAUCGAGAAGAGUGAAGAAGAGAAGAGAAGAAAGAAGAGACUUGUGAGAUGAAAAGAAGUAACCAGGGGGCUAGCUGAAGAAGAGAAGGGAUCAUCUUUUGCUAAAAGUAUAGAAGGAGAAGGGCCAAAUCAGAAAAGUGGUAGAUCAGAGAGGGGAACAAAAUCCCUAGCCACAUCAUUCGAUCCCUUCUGGCCUGGCACAUCUCACUCUCCCUCACCCCUCCUUCUCCACCUCCAGCCGCUGCCACGGCCAGGCCGGCGUGGCGGUGCGUCACCCAGCCAUCUAUCCACUCCAUCUCCACCACGACAUCUCCACCACCCACCGCUGCCAGCACCGCAUCACCACCACCAUCCGCUGCAUCUUCCUUAGCCACGCCACACCACCAGCGACUCUCUCUCAACGCACCUUGCUGCUACUCUUCUUCACUUGCCUCAAACUGCUGCUGCUCUCUUCUCCCCGGCGCCUCCACACUGCUGCUACUACUCCUUUCCUUUGCUGGUGUCCCAUCUCUCCUUGCACUCCUGCUGCUUCUUCUUCCCAAACCUUGAUGCUGCCGCUCUCUUCUCCCCAAAACUACUGCUGCUUGUUCUCUCCUGCGCCCCCUUGCAGAACCUCUGCUCUAAACCUCCUCCUUCUGCUCCUCCUUGUGUGUGUGUGUGUGUAAUUCAUAAAAAACAUAUUGUUGUGUUCAGUGAACAAUUAGUGUUGAGACUUGUUCAAUUGCAAACUGUUUUGUGCUAGAUUUAUAUGUGACUAUCAGUUCGUGGGUUGUAUAAAUUCAGAUUACUACCUGUGAUUUUAUUUUGUAGUGAGACUGCUCUUUGUGAAGUCAGAGGUGUGAUUGUUUUUAAUCUCAAGUUCAAUGUGCUAGCUAUGUACCAGUGACAUAUGUGACAUGUAUAUGUGAUGUGAAAUAAUUGUAUUCUGUCCCUAA